UGAUUAUAUAUGUAUCUUUGUAUGGAUCUUGUUAGUAAUCAUUUAAAUACAGUACGGCCAUUGUGUCAAUUUGCAGAAAAGGAAAUUGCUUUAAUAUAUACAGUCAAACCUCUAUUAAGCGGCCCUCCGUUAAGCGGCCACCCUCUAUUAAAUGGCCACAUAUCGAAAUCCCGAAAUUUUUGCAAUAAAACUAUGCCUCUAUUAAAC
rnacentral:lncRNA from 1 species